AAAGUGUCAAAAAUAGACUCCUUACUUUUACUAUCUGAUUUCAUCAUUUCAUUUGGCAACCGUGAAAAAAGUGCGAUAGCGAAGUACAUCAAAAAUCCAACUUUCAAUGUAAUAAACUUUUAGCCACUACUUUUAGCAAACUACAACAACAACAAUCCAGACUACUUGAGGAGCACUGUUUGGGAAUAACAAUUGAUCCAGUCCAAGCGAGAAUUUCGCCUGAGAACCACCAUUGCUGGCCACGACCAUCUUUACCGUAGCUUGGGGUAUGAGAAAGGAAGUGUUGAUGUGGUACUUGCUUAACGGAAGGCCCCGACUCAGUGACACUUCCAUAAGUACCACGGAUUGGGUAGUGGGUGGGUUGUUAGUCAGGAUUCGCCUCAAGCAAGUGAUGCGACUGAGAAUUUAUUUUCGUGCAUAAAAGGUUUGAAUAGUUUAUUGACUAGUAUACGUAAAUGUUCGCGAUGCGAAGGUGUUGGAUAACCGUUUAUCGAGAGUUUGUUUCAUCGAAACCAACUUGAGCUCCGGACAGCCGGGUGUCGGGAGUGUUGUCGACAAUAUAAAAUGGACCAUAAAUUAUUGAUUUAAUUUAAUUGAUUUAUUGGCCUAAAAGUGAGCCAAUGAAUAUGACAAUAAAACGUAUGUUCUUCGUGCUGGUAUGACUGCUGCGAAUUGGUAGCUGACUUCUGAUUCUUCUCGAAACUAUUAAUUCCUAUUUUUUUUUCACUCAGACAAUACCAUGCGUAUUCCUCAGGCACGUUAAAUGCCCAGUGGAUUAGUUCCCUAUUUGGUCAAAUAACACUAAACAAACAAAUAAAUUAGUUUGCUCAGUCCAAAGAGAUGUCAGCUAGAUUGGCAUCAACCGGCGGAUACGUGUUCCCUUGUAAUGCCAUCAAAUUAAAGAACAUUUAAAAUUACAUACGACACACUAUGUGCAAUGCUGAAUACAAUGAAUAAUAAUAAUAUAAUUAUAGGCAUUAAAAUAAGAUCGGAAAAAUUAGUUGAAUAACCAAGGUAGUUCAUUUUCAAAGAUAGCACUGUUGAUGAAUCACCUUACAAAAUAGGUGAUAAGGGACGCGGACGAAAAUAGCUGACCACCGCCACAACAAUAUAAUAAACAUUAUUGAACAAAAACAAAAUAUCGAAGCAAGUUCUGCUUGGCGUGCAGAGAAAAAAGUUGGCAGCCAUUAGGUUUUAGGUCAGUCGACAUAACCCUACAAAAUCAACCAGAUGAACUCCGUUUAACAAUUCUCGGUGGUUUGUUUACAUGAGAGUUACGUGAGUUCGAAUGCAACAGAUAAACAUUCGGUGGGCCCCUAUUAUUGGCUCCAAUCAAAACUAUCGACACUCAUAGUAAUAGACCAGCGAAGGUAGUUUUAUCGAGCCAAACAAGCUCAAAAUCCGGAGCCAAACGAGCAUGACGUCAUACAAUGCAAACAAGCAGAACAAGUAUUGCGAUUUUAUUUAAAAAUAUAUUUUGUUAUUCACAGUGGGCUUCACUUUUCA